rnacentral:sRNA from 1 species
ACUUUUCUUUCUUUCUUUUUU